rnacentral:rRNA from 1 species
AUUGAACGCUGGCGGAAUGCUUUACACAUGCAAGUCGAACGGCAGCACGGACUUCGGUCUGGUGGCGAGAGGCGAACGGGUGAGUAAUGUAUCGGAACGUGCCCAGUCGUGGGGGAUAACGUAGUGAAAAUUACGCUAAUACCGCAUACGAUCUAUGGAUGAAAGCGGGGGAUCGCAAGACCUCGCGCGAUUGGAGCGGCCGAUAUCGGAUUAGGUAGUUGGUGGGGUAAAGGCCCACCAAGCCAACGAUCUGUAGCUGGUCUGAGAGGACGACCAGCCACACUGGAACUGAGACACGGUCCAGACUCCUACGGGAGGCAGCAGUGGGGAAUUUUGGACAAUGGGCGAAAGCCUGAUCCAGCCAUUCCGCGUGCAGGAUGAAGGCCCUCGGGUUGUAAACUGCUUUUGUACAGAACGAAAAGGUUUCUACUAAUACUAGGAGCUCAUGACGGUACUGUAAGAAUAAGCACCGGCUAACUACGUGCCAGCAGCCGCGGUAA